rnacentral:tRNA from 1 species
GCGAGUGUAGUUCAGUUGGUAGAACGUUUGCUUGCCAAGCAAAAGGUCACGAGUUCGAAUCUCGUUACUCGCUCCA